GUAGAGACAAGGUCUUGCAAUGUUGCCCAGGCUGGUCUCAAAGUCUUGAGCUCAAGCAGUCUUCCUGCCUCGGCCUCCUAAAAUGUUGUAAUUACAGGUGUGAGUUACCACACCUUGCCUGAGUUGAUCUUCUAUAAGAGUUCAAACAAAAAACAGACCACACGAAGAUGAUCACUUCAAACAUGAGGAUGGGAAUAUGCUGACGUUAGACACAGGGUUGGUGUGAGACCUACAGAAAAUACAUAUAAAGCGUCAGACAUGAAGUCCAGCACAUAGUAGGUGUUGAAUAAAUGGCAGUGAGUGGUCAUGUCCGGAAAUGGAGCCAAGAAGUUGAGCCUGGACUACUAAGAAUCUGGCCUGAAGACCCAGGAGGCGGAGCUUGCAGUGAGCUGAGAUUGUGCCACUGCACUCCAGCCUGGGCGACAGAGCAAGACUCCGUCUCAAAAAAAAAAAAAAAAAAAAAAAAAAAAGAAUCUGGCCUGAAGAAUUUCAAAAAGGAAAAUGGUUCUCCCUGAUAACAAAUAGUGAUGAGUAAAACCUGACAAAUUACAUUUGCCUCCCCCAAAUAUGUAAGCUUGGAAUCAACUCGGUGGUUUUCUUCAGAGAAAAGCUGUUUCAUGUCUGCCUCCCACAUUUAAUUCUCCAACAUCUUCCCGAAAUUAUUUCAGAAUGAAAUGAGGUAGCAUACUUGAGGUUAAAUUCAAUAAAAAAUAUCUGAAGCAUAAAAAUA